rnacentral:misc_RNA from 1 species
AGCAGCCGCGGUAAUUCCAGCUCCAAUAGCGUAUAUUAAAGUUGCUGCAGUUAAAAGCUCGUAGUUGAAUUUCGGGACUAAUAUGUCGGUCGUGCCUCGGUACGUACUGGUUUAUUGGUUUCUCCUUUCUGAAGAACCAUGAUGUCAUUUAUUUGGUGUCGUGGGGAAUCAGGACUGUUACUUUGAAAAAUUAGAGUGUUUAAAGCAGGCUCACGCUUGAAUACAUUAGCAUGGAAUAAUGAAAUAGGACGUUUGAUUCUAUUUUGUUGGUUUCUAGGAUCGACGUAAUGAUUAAUAGGGAUAGUUGGGGGCAUUAGUAUUCAAUUGUCAGAGGUGAAAUUCUUGGAUUUAUUGAAGACUAACUACUGCGAAAGCAUUUGCCAAGGAUGUUUUCAUUAAUCAAGAACGAAAGUUAGGGAUUGAAGACGAUCAGAUACCGUCGUAGUCUUAACCAUAAACUAUGCCGACUAGGGAUCGGAUGAUGUUAAUUUUUUAAUGACUCAUUCGGCGCCUUAACC